CAGGCAGAGCCUGAAGAAAAAGUACCUCAUCUUAUAGACCACCAGAUUUCUUCUGGUGAAAACACCAGAUCAGUGAUUCCAAAUGAUAUUUCAAGUAAUGCUGCAAUUUUAGGAGGACAGCCGCCAAAUGUGACAAGCAAUUCUGGAAUUCUGGGAGUCCAAAGACCAAAUGUAUCAAGUAAUUCUGAAAUUCUUGGGGUCCGGCCAUCUAAUGUUUCCAGUAGUUCUGGGAUUAUUGCAGCCCAACCACCAAAUAUUCUAAAUAACUCUGGAAUAUUGGGAAUACAGCCACCCAGUGUGUCAAAUAGUUCUGGACUUUUGGGAGUGCUACCCCCAAAUAUACCUAACAAUUCUGGACUUGUAGGAGUACAGCCACCAAAUGUUCCAAAUACUCCUGGACUUCUGGGAACACAGCCACCAGCUGGACCUCAAAACUUACCCCCUUUAAGUAUCCCUAAUCAAAGGAUGCCCACAAUGCCAAUGUUAGACAUUCGUCCGGGACUAAUACCACAGGCACCUGGGCCAAGAUUCCCUUUAAUACAGCCUGGAAUUCCACCCCAACGGGGAAUCCCACCCCCAUCGGUACUUGAUUCAGCUCUUCAUCCACCACCCCGUGGACCUUUUCCUCCAGGAGAUAUUUUUAGUCAACCAGAAAGACCUUUUUUAGCUCCUGGAAGACAAAGCGUAGACAAUGUUACUAACCCAGAAAAAAGGAUACCACUUGGGAAUGAUAACAUUCAACAGGAAGGAGAUAGAGAUUACCGGUUUCCUCCUAUAGAAACCAGGGAAAGCAUUAGUAGACCUCCCCCUGUGGAUGUUAGAGAUGUGGUUGGGCGGCCUAUAGAUCCAAGAGAAGGUCCUGGACGGCCUCCACUAGAUGGUAGGGAUCAUUUUGGAAGACCUCCUGUAGAUAUAAGAGAGAAUCUUGUGAGGCCAGGUAUAGAUCAUCUUGGUCGAAGAGACCACUUUGGCUUUAAUCCAGAGAAGCCCUGGGGGCAUAGAGGAGAUUUUGAUGAGAGAGAGCAUCGGGUUCUACCGGUCUAUGGUGGUCCAAAAGGCUUACAUGAAGAAAGAGGUAGAUUUCGGUCUGGAAACUAUCGAUUUGAUCCUAGAAGUGGUCCUUGGAACCGAGGAUUUGGACAAGAAGUUCACAGAGAUUUUGAUGACCGCAGAAGACCCUGGGAGAGGCAAAGGGAUAGGGAUGACAGAGAUUUUGAUUUCUGCAGAGAAAUGAAUGGAAAUCGUCUUGGACGAGACAGAAUUCAAAACACUUGGGUUCCCCCUCCUCAUGCUCGGGUUUUUGAUUAUUUUGAAGGGGCCACUUCUCAACGAAAAGGUGAUAAUGUGCCUCAGGUUAAUGGUGAAAAUACAGAGAGACAUGCUCAGCCACCACCUAUACCAGUACAGAAUGAUCCUGAACUUUAUGAAAAACUGACAUCUUCAAAUGAAAUAAACAAGGAGAAGAGUGACACAGUUGCUGAUAUAGAAAGUGAACCAGUGGUAGAAAGCACAGAAACUGAGGGGACAUAAUCAUCACUCAGUAGGUAAAAGAUACCUUUUGUAAAGUUGUCAUCUCUCUGUAAUAGAUAAUGGCUGACUGGACCAUAGUUGUUCACUUUUGUCUGCCAGAAUUAAGUUAAUCUGAUGUUCAUGUUCACCUUUCUCUUAAAAUAAUUGUACAACUGACUUGUAUAGACAUUGUUCUUAAUAUGAACAUGGUAGGUAAACUUUUUUUUUAUUUUUUUCUGAUAAAAUACAAAUGUUGGCCCCAGAUUCUUUUAACGUCAAGGAAAUGAAUAACAGCUUGUCAGAGACUUCCUAUGGAAGAAAGAAUUUUUUAGAUACUAUCAUUAGGCUGCUGCAGAAUUUUAAGGUUAUAGAUAAAGCUGUGAUAUUUUAUGCAAAGACUGGCUCUAGGUAUUUGAGGAGCACAAUACAGAGAUUUUAAAAAGUGAUUUUGUAAAAUCUACACUACGGUCUCUGUUUCUCCAAAGUAAGUGUUUGUGAUUUGUUCCUCAUACUGCAGUGAGUAAAAAAGAAACAAGAAAACAACAACAUAAAUAUUAAAGUACGUUUCAAUGUUGGGUGAAUUUUGUUUUUAGAUGCCAAUAAAACUUAUUUGUUUGAU
rnacentral:lncRNA from 1 species